UUUGGCACUAGAGAAGUUGAACUUAGCAGCUAACCCGCAGGAAGAGAAAGCAGAGGAAAACAGAGAGAGAGAUGGACAAAAUGAAGAUAGAAGAGGUCCAGUCCACUGCGAAAAAGCAGAGAAUCGCCACUCACACUCAUAUCAAAGGCCUUGGCCUUGAGCCCAGUGGAAAAGCCAUACCACUGGCUGCUGGUUUUGUGGGUCAGAUGGAGGCAAGAGAAGCAGCUGGUCUUGUAGUUGAUAUGAUAAAGCAGAAGAAGAUGGCUGGCCGUGCUCUUCUACUGGCUGGGCCUCCUGGUACUGGGAAGACAGCUUUGGCCCUUGGAAUAUCCCAGGAGCUUGGGAACAAGGUUCCAUUCUGUCCAAUGGUUGGAUCAGAAGUAUACUCAUCUGAAGUGAAGAAAACUGAGGUUUUAAUGGAAAAUUUCCGAAGGGCUAUUGGUCUACGUAUCAAGGAAAUUAAAGAGGUCUAUGAAGGAGAGGUGACUGAACUUUCGCCAGAAGAAACUGAAAGUGUUACAGGUGGUUAUGGUAAAAGCAUUAGUCAUGUAAUUAUUGGACUGAAAACUGUCAAAGGAACCAAGCAACUAAAGUUGGACCCUACUAUCUAUGAUUCCUUAAUUAAAGAGAAGGUUUUGCCUUUUAAUAUUUUGUUUCUGAAUGCUUGAGUACUUUAUAUGUGUCUAAGAACUAUUUGUGAGCUGAUGUAUAAAUGCUGUCACUUUUGAUUGUCCAAUUGUGUAAGGGAACUUAUGCUGUGUUAUUCAAUUCUUUUUGUGGAUUUCUGGCUUUCUGCAAUUUUCAAGUUAGUUAGCUGUGUUCUUAAUUUAAUCUCUUGUAAUACCUUUGUAAUGAAAUAUGCAGGUAGCUGUUGGAGAUGUUAUAUACAUUGAAGCGAAUAGUGGAGCAGUCAAAAGGGUGGGUAGAAGCGAUGCUUUUGCUACAGAGUUUGACCUUGAAGCAGAAGAAUAUGUUCCUCUUCCUAAGGGCGAGGUUCACAAAAAGAAGGAGAUAGUUCAGGAUGUAACUCUACACGAUCUAGAUGCUGCAAAUGCAAGACCUCAAGGUGGGCAAGAUAUUUUGUCAUUAAUGGGUCAAAUGAUGAAGCCCAGAAAAACAGAAAUCACUGACAAGCUACGACAGGAAAUAAAUAAGGUUGUUAAUCGAUAUAUUGAUGAAGGUGUUGCAGAACUUGUCCCUGGUGUUCUAUUCAUUGAUGAGGUACAUAUGCUGGAUAUGGAGUGCUUUUCUUACUUGAAUCGUGCUUUGGAGAGCUCACUGUCUCCAAUAGUAAUAUUUGCUACAAAUAGGGGAAUAUGCAAUGUAAGAGGGACAGAUAUGAAUAGUCCUCAUGGAAUACCUGUUGACUUGUUGGACCGCUUGGUGAUUAUCCGAACACAAAUUUAUGGUCCUGCUGAAAUGAUACAGAUUUUAGCAAUUCGUGCACAGGUAGAGGAACUGAUUGUAGAUGAGGAAAGUUUGGCAUUUCUCGGAGAGAUUGGUCAACGCUCAUCUUUGAGGCAUGCAGUUCAGCUGUUAUCGCCUGCCAGCAUUGAGGCGAAAAUGAAUGGCCGAGACAACAUUUGCAAGGCGGACCUUGAGGAAGUGAGUGCAUUGUAUCUAGAUGCCAAAUCUUCGGCCAAGCUACUUCAAGAGCAGCAGGAAAAGUACAUCUCAUGAUAAUAUCAACUGAUUUUUCUGGAUAUUCAAGAGUGCCUCAUCGUUUAAGUCGCAAUUUUAAGUUUGACGAAGUUGUCUUGCCAUGGAUGAUGCUUAAUUUGGCAGGGUUUUGAUUAUUGUGGUAGUUUGUGUAUUAACAUGGACAGUUUUAGAGGCAAAUGAAUUACAUUAUAAACAGUUGUAGAGGUGGAUAUGAAUAUUAGAUUUGGUAUGUACCAUUAAUCUUUUAUCUAGUUUUAGAAUUACGAAGCUCAAUUUGAGGAGUUUAUGCUUACAUUCUAACGUAUGGUUUAGUGUGGAUAAAAUGUAGGUUGGAUUGGACAAUUUCAAUAACAA
rnacentral:misc_RNA from 1 species